rnacentral:rRNA from 1 species
AUUGAACGCUGGCGGCAUGCCUAACACAUGCAAGUCGAACGAGACCUUCGGGUCUAGUGGCGCACGGGUGCGUAACGCGUGGGAAUCUGCCCUUCGGUUGGGAAUAACUGAGAGAAAUUUCAGCUAAUACCUUAUAAUGUCUUCGGACCAAAGAUUUAUCGCCGAGGGAUGAGCUCGCGUAGGAUUAGGUAGUUGGUGGGGUAAUGGCCUACCAAGCCGACGAUCCUUAGCUGGUCUGAGAGGAUGAUCAGCCACACUGGGACUGAGACACGGCCCAGACUCCUACGGGAGGCAGCAGUGGGGAAUAUUGGACAAUGGGCGAAAGCCUGAUCCAGCAAUGCCGCGUGAGUGAUGAAGGCCUUAGGGUUGUAAAGCUCUUUUACCCGGGAUGAUAAUGACAGUACCGGGAGAAUAAGCUCCGGCUAACUCCGUGCCAGCCGCCGCAGUAACAC